rnacentral:misc_RNA from 1 species
UAAGUCACCACGGCACGAACGUUCAUCAAAAGAUUACUUGAAAUAAUGACAGUUAAGGGAGGUCAAAGUUAACUACAAGGAAUUUGUAAGAUCUAUUCUUGUACCCUUUCUCUUUGCGACUGCACAUUUUUCUUUCAAGCCAAUAAUAAAAUCAUUCUUCUUUGCAUAUUUACACUUCGAUUUAUUCUUGUAUACCUACAUUCAGAUUCAUCUAUCCUAUAUGUACCCACAUUCGGACGUUAUUUCUCUUCUCCAUCUUUAUUUUAUGCGCUAUUAAUUUGUUAAAAUAUUUUGUCAUAAGAUUGGGAUUUGGAUAUUGAUAACAUCAUGUACUUUGCUAUGAGAUUUG